rnacentral:rRNA from 1 species
AACGAACGCUGGCGGCAUGCCUAACACAUGCAAGUCGAACGAGACCUUCGGGUCUAGUGGCGCACGGGUGCGUAACGCGUGGGAACCUGCCCUUAGGUUCGGAAUAACUCCCCGAAAGGGGUGCUAAUACCGGAUAAUGUCUUCGGACCAAAGAUUUAUCGCCUUUGGAUGGGCCCGCGUUGGAUUAGCUUGUUGGUAGGGUAAAAGCCUACCAAGGCGACGAUCCAUAGCUGGUCUGAGAGGAUGAUCAGCCACACUGGGACUGAGACACGGCCCAGACUCCUACGGGAGGCAGCAGUGGGGAAUAUUGGACAAUGGGCGAAAGGCUGAUCCAGCAAUGACGCGUGAGUGAUGAAGGCCUUAGGGUUGUAAAGCUCUUUCACCCGGGAUGAUAAUGACAGUACCGGGAGAAUAAGCUCCGGCUAACUCCGUG